UUAUCCAAUUAUUAGAAUAUUACGAUCACAGUUUCUGCUGAAAACAAUUCAUACACUUUAAUAGCUUUUCCAUGUAACUAAUCAGAUCUACACAGAAAUAUUCGAUGGAUUUUCGCUUUCUAA